UACGGAGGAUCCAAGCGUUAUCCGGAUUAACUGGGCGUAAAGAGUUGCGUAGGUGGUAAUUUAAGUGAAUAGUGAAAUCUGGUGGCUCAACCAUCAACACAUUAUUCAAACUGGGUUACUCGAGAACGAGAGAGGUGGCUGGAAUUCCCUGUGUAGGAGUGAAAUCCGUAGAUAUAGGGAGGAACACCGAUGGCGUAGGCAGGCCACUGGCUCGUUUCUGACACUGAGGCACGAAAGCGUGGGGAGCGAACGGG
rnacentral:rRNA from 1 species